CCUGAGGAAUAAGCACCGGCUAACUUCGUGCCAGCAGCCGCGGUAAUACGAAGGGUGCAAGCGUUAAUCGGAAUUACUGGGCGUAAAGGGUGCGUAGGCGGUUCGUUAAGUCUGUCGUGAAAUCCCCGGGCUCAACCUGGGAAUGGCGAUGGAUACUGGCGAGCUAGAGUGUGUCAGAGGAUGGUGGAAUUCCCGGUGUAGCGGUGAAAUGCGUAGAGAUCGGGAGGAACAUCAGUGGCGAAGGCGGCCAUCUGGGACAACACUGACGCUGAAGCACGAAAGCGUGGGGAGCAAACAGGAUUAGAUACCCUGGUAGGGGAGGCCCUAAACGAUGCGAACUGGAUGUUGGUCUCAACUCGGAGAUCAGUGUCGAAGCUAACGCGUUAAGUUCGCCGCCGGGGGAGUACGGUCGCAAGACUGAAACUCAUAGGAAUUGACGG
rnacentral:rRNA from 1 species